rnacentral:rRNA from 1 species
AUUGAACGCUGGCGGCAGGCCUAACACAUGCAAGUCGAGCGGAUGAAGGGAGCUUGCUCCUGGAUUCAGCGGCGGACGGGUGAGUAAUGCCUAGGAAUCUGCCUGGUAGUGGGGGAUAACGUCCGGAAACGGGCGCUAAUACCGCAUACGUCCUGAGGGAGAAAGUGGGGGAUCUUCGGACCUCACGCUAUCAGAUGAGCCUAGGUCGGAUUAGCUAGUUGGUGGGGUAAAGGCCUACCAAGGCGACGAUCCGUAACUGGUCUGAGAGGAUGAUCAGUCACACGGGAAAUGAGACACGGUCCAGACUCCGACGGGAGGCAGCAGUGGGGAAUAGUGGACAAUGGGCGAAAGCCUGAUCCAGCCAUGCCGCGUGUGUGAAGAAGGUCUUCGGAUUGUAAAGCACUUUAAGUUGGGAGGAAGGGCAGUAAGUUAAUACCUUGCUGUUUUGACGUUACCAACAGAAUAAGCACCGGCUAACUUCGUG